CUUCACCUGUGUCUGAAGCAGAGACUGUGUGGUCGGUCUCUGAGUAAACCUGAAGUUAACAAAGUCCAGAGGGAUUCAGGUCAGAGGUCAGAGGUCACUGUGAUGAGCUCAGGUGUAUCCUCAGGUGUAACAGUCACAGCACAGAGAGACAG